AAUGAACGCUGGCGGCAGGCCUAAAACAUGCAAGUCGAACGCCCUAGCAAUAGGGAGUGGCGCACGGGUGAGUAACAUGUGGGAAUAUGCCUUUUGGUACGGAACAACGUUUGGAAACGAGCGCUAAUACCGUAUGGUCCCUCCGGGGUAAAGAUUUAUCACCAAAAGAUUAGCCCGCACUAGAUUAGCUAGUUGGUAAGGUAAUGGCUUACCAAGGCGACGAUCUAUAGCUGUUCUGAGAGGAAGAUCAGCCACACUGGGACUGAGACACGGCCCAGACUCCUACGGGAGGCAGCAGUUAGGAAUAUUGGACAAUGGGCGCAAGCCUGAUCCAGCCAUGCCGCGUGAGUGAUGAAGGCCUUCGGGUUGUAAAGCUCUUUAGCCGACGAAUAUAAUGACUGUAGUCGGAGAAUAAGCCCCGGCUAACUUCGUGCCAGCCGCCGCGGUAACAC
rnacentral:rRNA from 1 species